rnacentral:rRNA from 1 species
GAUGAAUGCUGGCGGCAUGCCUAAUACAUGCAAGUCGAGCGGUAACAGGGCUUCACCGUGUUCUUGACACACUUGGCCAUCGUGCAAGUUGUUGGAUUCGAGGACACAGUGAAGCUGCUGACGAGCGGCGGACGGCUGAGUAACGCGUGGGAACGGACCCCAAACUGAGGGAUAACUACUCGAAAGAGUGGCUAAUACCGCAUGUGAUCUUCGGAUUAAAGGAUUUAUCCGGUUUGGGACUGGCCUGCGUACGAUUAGAUAGUUGGUGAGGUAAUGGCUCACCAAGUCGACGAUCGUUAGAUGGUUUGAGAAGAUGAUCAUCCAGACUGGGACUGAGACACGGCCCAGACUCC